AAGCUACUGGGGGAGCCGAAGCUCCCCCAUAAAUGUUGCUAUACGUCGUUCUUGUUAUGCAGGCUUAUUGUUUUUGUUGGAUCGCCUGUUCCGGAUUCCAUCGUGUCCGGAAAACCUCCCGUUAUCGAGAGCAAGAGCAAACGGAUUACUUUGGAUGCUGACGCUGCCUUGGGCUCUAGACCUCACCUGAUUCGGUGCUGUCUGUCGACAUUU
rnacentral:misc_RNA from 1 species